GCCGGCGUAGCUCAGCGGUUAGAGCAGACGCUUCAUAAGCGUAAGGUUCGCAGGUUCAAAUCCUGCCGUCGGCACCA
rnacentral:tRNA from 1 species